GGAGAGUUUAACGGCUGUCUGCGUGAUCUUCGAGAAAGUGCAUCGAGAGCCCUUCAAAUUGAAAAUAGUGAUGGUGCUCUUGUCAAUGCUGAGAUUUAAAUGCAUUAACAGUCAUUACGUCUGUCUGGAUCAGGAUUGAAGAAGAAUCAGACAGCAAGGGUUGUCAGAUCAGAAACGUAAUAACACAAACAUAAGAAACUUCACAGGGCUGUGACAGUGGCAGUAUUUUACCACCGCGAUGGUAAUGCACCAAUUCACCACUGUGGUGCAGUGGUUUGUGUGAGGGGGAGGCGGCAAUUUCUUUUUUCGCCGGUUGGUGCUCAUCACAACCUCAAGCUUUACCAGGCAACGCCAGGUGCUCUAGAGUCUGGAGCGCUCAAAAGCUUUGAAGAGAUGGAAAGUGGCGCAAUCACGUUUUCGUGUGAAUUGUGAAGUUAAAGGCAGAUCAUCGUGCAACUUGGUGAAGUCAUGUGUCUUUCCAGAUGCCCAAAUCUGUACCCCACAAAAAAACUUUAUUAAAUGCCGUGAUAGACAAGAUGAGCCUUAAGAGGAGAUUUGGGAAGAUGCUGUUUCAUAAGUCUUUGCUUUGCCAGAUUAUCUGUGGUUGGGGUGUCUGCCAACUUGAUGCCUUGCUGGUCUGGUUUGAGUUUGAAGUCUCUCACAGACAGUCCAGAAGGUCUGGAGUCCAUCUUAGCUUUCAUUGAACCCUUUAAGGUGUAGAAACAUCAAGACCAAUAGGAGACACCUGAGCUAAAUUCCAGGUAUUGUUGGAAAGGGUCUGAAUAUGUAUAAUGUAAAAAAUUAUAUUUCAGUUUUUCUUUUUUCAUACAUUUGCAAACGUUUCAAAAAAACAAUUUUAUGAGGAAAAAUGUAAACAAUUGCAGUAUCAUGAAAGAACAUAACAAAAUUGAAAAGUGAAGAGGGUCUUAAUACUUUCUGAAUGCACUGUAGAUGAUCUUAAUUGAAGCUCAUUGUCACAUUUGUAAACACAACAGCUUUCUUUCUUCAUCAGCUAUGCUAUGUUUCUAGUCAGACCAUUAAAGAACACACAUCUUGCCUUCAUGUGCAAUAACUUUUUUUAUACAUGGGCUAAAAAACAUAGCAUUUUUGACAAUGAAAUAACAUGCGGUUUGUUUUUC